rnacentral:tRNA from 1 species
CUAAAAAUAAGCUAAAAUAAAUUAAAGCUAUUGGGCUCAUAACUCAAAAAUGAUUGAAAUCUUCUUAGA